AGCCUAUUAAAGUUUAACUAUUAGUAAUUUCAUACUUUUUUCAUGAAAUGCGUCAUUUUCAUUUGAAAGAAGGAAGAAAAUACGUCAAUACCAUUUAUGAUGCAUUUACAGCGUUAAUGUUAUGCUGAACACAUUCUUAACGAUGGGCAAACUAUUUAAAAAAUUAUUAUAUUUCGAUUAAAAAUUCCUCUACCUCUCACAGCAAAUUUGGAAGAACAGUAGGCUACUUUUUGGGACACGCCAUAUAUACCACACAUGCUACAUACACAAACUACAUGUCCUUUUCCAUUUUGCAUCAUGUGAACAUUUGACGAACGAACCCAAAAGUUUGAUAAGACAUUAACGUUGAACGUCUUUUCUAUGAUAUCCGUGUCUUGAUUCAAAAAAGGGCAAUGAUAUAAUACAGCGGCGUUAUUAAUCAGGAUAGACACUUCUGGCACGCCGACUUUUCUCAUUAACCUUGCUGCUUCUCGGACUUCUAAUCUUUUCGAUACAUCGACUACGAAACCGUAAGCCUAAAUAUACAUAUAUGUAUAUAUCUUUAUCAAUGGAAAUGCCUAUCGAAGAUCAAAUAAAUAUAUUAUAGGAUUUUUAUUUAUUCAGAAAUAUUAGAAAUUAGGGUUUUCAAUGAUUUCUAUCCCAUAUGAUAAGUUUAUUAAUAGAUAGAUCUAUUUAUAAUGAU
rnacentral:misc_RNA from 1 species